CCUACGGGGCGCAGCAGUGAGGAAUAUUGGUCAAUGGACGCAAGUCUGAACCAGCCAUGCCGCGUGCAGGAAGACGGCUCUAUGAGUUGUAAACUGCUUUUGUACGAGGGUAAACGCAGAUACGCGUAUCUGUCUGAAAGUCUCGUACGAAUAAGGAUCGGCUAACUCGUUGCCAGCAGCCGCGGGAAUACGGAGGAAUCAAGCGUUAACCGGAUUUAUUGGGGUUAAAGGGUGCGAAGGCGGUCGGAUAAGUUAGAGUUGAAAUCCCGAGGCUCAACUUCGGAAUUGCCUCUGAUACUGUGCGGCUAGAGAGUAGUUGCGGUAGGCGGAAUGUAUGGUGUAGCGGUGAAAUGCUUAGAGAUCAUACAGAACACCGAUUGCGCAGGCAGCUUACCAAGCUACUUCUGACGUUGAGGCACGAAAGCGUGGGGAGCAAACAGGAUUAGAUACCCCUGUAGUC
rnacentral:rRNA from 1 species